CCUGGCUCAGGAUGAACGCUGGCGGCGUGCCUAAUACAUGCAAGUCGAACGCUUUGUGGUUCAACUGAUUUGAAGAGCUUGCUCAGAUAUGACGAUGGACAUUGCAAAGAGUGGCGAACGGGUGAGUAACACGUGGGAAACCUACCUCUUAGCAGGGGAUAACAUUUGGAAACAGAUGCUAAUACCGUAUAACAAUGACAACCGCAUGGUUGUUAUUUAAAAGAUGGUUCUGCUAUCACUAAGAGAUGGUCCCGCGGUGCAUUAGCUAGUUGGUAAGGUAAUGGCUUACCAAGGCGAUGAUGCAUAGCCGAGUUGAGAGACUGAUCGGCCACAAUGGGACUGAGACACGGCCCAUACUCCUACGGGAGGCAGCAGUAGGGAAUCUUCCACAAUGGGCGAAAGCCUGAUGGAGCAACGCCGCGUGUGUGAUGAAGGGUUUCGGCUCGUAAAACACUGUUGUAAGAGAAGAAUGACAUUGAGAGUAACUGUUCAAUGUGUGACGGUAUCUUACCAGAAAGGAACGGCUAAAUACGUGCCAGCAGCCGCGGUAAUACGUAUGUUCCAAGCGUUAUCCGGAUUUAUUGGGCGUAAAGCGAGCGCAGACGGUUAUUUAAGUCUGAAGUGAAAGCCCUCAGCUCAACUGAGGAAUUGCUUUGGAAACUGGAUGACUUGAGUGCAGUAGAGGAAAGUGGAACUCCAUGUGUAGCGGUGAAAUGCGUAGAUAUAUGGAAGAACACCAGUGGCGAAGGCGGCUUUCUGGACUGUAACUGACGUUGAGGCUCGAAAGUGUGGGUAGCAAACAGGAUUAGAUACCCUGGUAGUCCACACCGUAAACGAUGAGUGCUAGGUGUUUGAGGGUUUCCGCCCUUAAGUGCCGCAGCUAACGCAUUAAGCACUCCGCCUGGGGAGUACGACCGCAAGGUUGAAACUCAAAGGAAUUGACGGGGACCCGCACAAGCGGUGGAGCAUGUGGUUUAAUUCGAAGCAACGCGAAGAACCUUACCAGGUCUUGACAUCCCUUGACAACUCCAGAGAUGGAGUGUUCCCUUCGGGGACAAGGUGACAGGUGGUGCAUGGUUGUCGUCAGCUCGUGUCGUGAGAUGUUGGGUUAAGUCCCGCAACGAGCGCAACCCUUAUUACUAGUUGCCAGCAUUCAGUUGGGCACUCUAGUGAGACUGCCGGUGACAAACCGGAGGAAGGUGGGGAUGACGUCAAAUCAUCAUGCCCCUUAUGACCUGGGCUACACACGUGCUACAAUGGCGUAUACAACGAGUUGCCAACCCGCGAGGGUGAGCUAAUCUCUUAAAGUACGUCUCAGUUCGGAUUGUAGGCUGCAACUCGCCUACAUGAAGUCGGAAUCGCUAGUAAUCGCGGAUCAGCACGCCGCGGUGAAUACGUUCCCGGGUCUUGUACACACCGCCCGUCACACCAUGAGAGUUUGUAACACCCAAAGCCGGUGGGGUAACCUUCGGGAGCCAGCCGUCUAAGGUGGGACAGAUGAUUAGGGUGAAGUCGUAACAAGGGAACCAA
rnacentral:rRNA from 1 species